rnacentral:rRNA from 1 species
UACGUAGGGUGCAAGCGUUGUCCGGAAUUAUUGGGCGUAAAGCGCACGUAGGCGGCUUUGUAAGUUAGAGGUGAAAGCCCCGGGCUCAACCUGGGAAUUGCAUUUGAGACUGCAUAGCUAGGGUGCGGAAGAGGGAAGCGGAAUUUCCGGUGUAGCGGUGAAAUGCGUAGAUAUCGGAAGGAACACCAGUGGCGAAGGCGGCCAACUGGUCCGAUACUGACGCUGAGGCGCGAAAGCGUGGGGAGCAAACAGG